AACGAACGCUGGCGGCAGGCUUAACACAUGCAAGUCGAGCGCCCCGCAAGGGGAGCGGCAGACGGGUGAGUAACGCGUGGGAAUCUACCCAUCUCUACGGAAUAACGCAUGGAAACGUGUGCUAAUACCGUAUACGUCCUUCGGGAGAAAGAUUUAUCGGAGAUGGAUGAGCCCGCGUUGGAUUAGCUAGUUGGUGGGGUAAAGGCCUACCAAGGCGACGAUCCAUAGCUGGUCUGAGAGGAUGAUCAGCCACACUGGGACUGAGACACGGCCCAGACUCAUACGGGAGGCAGUAGUGGGGAAUAUUGGACCAUGGGCGCAAGCCUGAUCCAGCCAUGCCGCGUGAGUGAUGAAGGCCCUAGGGUUGUAAAGCUCUUUCACCGGUGAAGAUAAUGACGGUAACCGGAGAAGAAGCCCCGGUUAACUUCGUGCCAGCCGCCGCAGUAAAAC
rnacentral:rRNA from 1 species